GCCGCUGCCUCUGGCAAGAGCAGGCAUAGGAGCCGCAGUUGCGAGAGGCACAGAGCAGUGCCUCUCCCAACCGCGGCUCCUGUGCCUGCCCCUGCGAGAGGCGGGCGGC